rnacentral:tRNA from 1 species
UCCCUGGUGGUCUAAUGGUUAGGAAUCAGUGCUUUCACCACUGCAGCCUGGGUUCAAUUCCUGGUCUGGGGG